AUUAUUAAAUUUAAGUUUACUGGGUUAUUGGCCUAAUAAGAAUGCUAGUAGGUAUUGGUUAGAAUACAUCUACUAUUUCACAUUUUAAAAAUAAUCAUACUUUUUAAAAGAAUUUUCUUUUAUUUCAACUUGGAGCCUAGAUUACUAUGCCAAAUAUAUUAUUUUCAUAAUGCAAUAAAAUAUAAUUUAGAAUAA